AACGAACGCUGGCGGCGUGGAUAAGACAUGCAAGUCGGACGAGAUUUUUCGUUGUAGCAAUACAGUGGAAAGUCUGGUGGCGAACGGGUGCUUAACACGUGGGCAAUCUGCCUCAAAGUGGGGGAUAGCUCGGCGAAAGCCGGAUUAAUACCGCAUGUGGCCAGGGAAGACAUCUUCCUGACGCUAAAGUCGGGGCAACCUGACGCUUUGUGAGGACCCCGCGGCCUAUCAGCUAGUUGGUGAGGUAACGGCCCACCAAGGCUUUGACGGGUAGCUGGUCUGAGAGGACGACCAGCCACACUGGGACUGAGACACGGCCCAGACACCUACGGGUGGCAGCAGUCGAGAAUUUUUCUCAAUGGGGGAAACCCUGAAGGAGCGACGCCGCGUGGAGGAUGAAGGUCUUCGGAUUGUAAACUCCUGUCAUUGGGGAACAAUGUCCCGCCAUUAACUGUGGCAGGAUUGAUAGUACCCGAAGAGGAAGAGAUGGCUAACUCUGUGCCAGCAGCCGCCGUAACAC
rnacentral:rRNA from 1 species